GUUUUGUUCGCUGUAUGUACGCUAAAACUGGAAUAAUACAGAGAAGAUGAGCAUGGCCCUUUGUGUAAGGUUGAGACACAAAUUUGUGAAGCUUUCCAUAUUUUU